UACGUAGGGGGCAAGCGUUGUCCGGAUUUAUUGGGCGUAAAAGGCUUGUAGGUGGCCACGCCAAGUCGGAUGUGAAAUCUCCCGGCUCAACUGGGAGGGGUCAUUCGAUACUGGCGGGCUCGAGGCCGGUAGGGGGAAGUGGAAUUCCCGGUGUAGUGGUGGAAUGCGUAGAUAUCGGGAGGAACACCAAUGGCGAAGGCAGCUGACUGGGACGUGACUGACGCUGAGACGCGAAAGCGUGGGGAGCAAACAGG
rnacentral:rRNA from 1 species